rnacentral:rRNA from 1 species
UACGUAGGGUGCGAGCGUUAAUCGGAAUUACUGGGCGUAAAGCGUGCGCAGGCGGUUCGUUGUGUCUGAUGUGAAAGCCCCGGGCUUAACCUGGGAAUGGCAUUGGAAACUGGCGAGCUGGAGUGUGGCAGAGGGGGGUGGAAUUCCGCGUGUAGCAGUGAAACGCGUAGAGAUGCGGAGGAACACCGAUGGCGAAGGCAGCCCCCUGGGCUGACACUGACGCUCAGGCACGAAAGCGUGGGGAGCAAACAGG